UACGAAGGGGGCUAGCGUUGCUCGGAAUCACUGGGCGUAAAGCGCACGUAGGCGGAUUUCUAAGUCAGGGGUGAAAUCCUGGAGCUCAACUCCAGAACUGCCUUUGAUACUGGGAAUCUCGAGUCCGGGAGAGGUGAGUGGAACUGGCGAGUGUAGAGGUGAAAUUCGUAGAUAUUCGCAAGAACACCAGUGGCGAAGGCGGACUCACUGGCCCGGUACUGACGCUGAGGUGCGAAAGCGUGGGAGCA
rnacentral:rRNA from 1 species